rnacentral:rRNA from 1 species
UCGGAUUGUAGUCUGCAACCCGACUACAUGAAGCUGGAAUCGCUAGUAAUCGCGGAUCAGAAUGCCGCGGUGAAUACGUUCCCGGGUCUUGUACACACCGCCCGUCACACCAUGGGAGUCGGAAAUGCCCGAAGUCUGUGACCCAACCGGAAGGAAGGAGCAGCCGAAGGCAGGUCUGAUGACUGGGGUGAAGUCGUAACAAGGUAAC